GCGAGCUGGGUGGUGAGCGGCACUCUGGGACUCGGAGGACAGAGCGGCUAACCACCGGAGACGGGAGUUGGCGUGGGAUGAGGUGACUAUUUCACCGGGGAGUUUUAGUAAAUGCUAUCACUCAUUCUGGGGAAGAAAGCUCCCAUGUCAUGAAGACAAUCAUGCAGCUUUACAGAGAGAUCCACAUAGUGAGGAGCUGAGGUGUCCUGCAACUUGCAAGCCAUAAAAAAAAAAGUCACUGAACAUCGUGGCACGUGAUUCUCAGCUGGGACUUACUAGCCUCUUCAAGAAUUUUGGAUUCAAAACCCUGAAGGAGUGAACAUAUUAGAAAGUAAGAGCUACUGUAAUUUUGUUUGUCUUCAAAACAUGUUCAGGGAGAGGUUGCUCCAGUCUGAUCUAAGAAGAAAAAUAAAAUUAUAGUUGAAGGAUCAUCGCAUGACGCAAAACACUUCUGGCAUGUUUAUGUUGAAUAUAGCUCUUGUCUCAUAAAUUAAGCAAAAUUAAUUUUGA